ACCUCGGAUCAGGUAGGAAUACCCGCUGAACUUAAGCAUAUCAAUAAGCCGGAGGAA
rnacentral:rRNA from 1 species